AUGACUAAAGGAAAAAGCUAGCCUACUGCUGGAUACUGGCACAAGUCUUUUUGUCUUUCUCCAACCCUGAGCUUCAUUCCAGUCAUCGUCAUCUUAUUUUAGCUAUAAUUGAGAUAUAUUGUUCAUAUAUAGAUACAAUCUUGUCAAUGUAAAAAGUUCCAGAAACACUGGCCACACA